GCGAAUUCUGUGCAACCUUUUAUCUGAUAGCUCUCAAGAGGAUGAUGUGGUAUGGCAAGCGAAGUGUUCAGGGGAGUAUACAGUGCGGAGUGGAUAUAGACUUCUAAACACGGACCCUAUGAUGACCAUUCCUAAUGCUGACGAUAGAACAAUUUACAAGAAACUAUGGAACACUCCGGUCCCUUCUAAGAUCAAAAUCGUGACCUGGAGAUUAUUACAUAACUACGUGCCUACUUAAGUGAAUCUAUACGAAGCGUGUUGCAGCCACUCCUAUUUGUCCUAGAUGUCAAG
rnacentral:lncRNA from 1 species